ACGGAAGGCAGCAGCUAAGAAUAUUCCGCAAUGGACGAAAGUCUGACGGAGCGACGCCGCGUGGAUGAUGAAGGUCGGAAGAUUGUAAAAUCCUUUUAUGACUGAGGAAUAAGUAAGGUGAGAGAAACGCCUUAUGGUGACUGUAGGUCAUGAAUAAGCAACGGCUAAUUACGUGCCAGCAGCCGCGGUAACACGUAAGUUGCGAGCGUUGUUCGGAAUUAUUGGGCGUAAAGGGCAUGUAGGCGGUUUUGCAAGCUUGGUGCGAAAUCUCGGAGCUCAACUCCGAAAUUGCGUUGAGAACUGCAUGACUAGAGUCACUGAGGGGCAAUCAGAAUUCCAGGUGUAGGGGUGAAAUCUGUAGAUAUCUGGAAGAAUACCAAUGGCGAAGGCAGGUUACCAGCAGAUGACUGACGCUGAGGUGCGAAGGUGCGGGGAGCAAACAGGAUUAGAUACCCUGGUA
rnacentral:rRNA from 1 species